rnacentral:lncRNA from 1 species
CUAGAUGCUUUACUUUAUAAUAACUUUUCCCUGAUUCAACACAUUCUUUGACUAAGACUCCAUAACAGGAUCUUUCUAUAUGGGUAUGGUGAAUUUUGGGGUACCAUGAAUCUCAGAGGUUGUUGUGCGGGCAUGACAUCAUCCAAGUAGUCAGGGAAUUUCUAGAAGGGUGGGGAAACAGAUGUUACAGAAGGACAAUGCCAUCCUGGGAGGAGGGAAUGGAAGAGGCUUCCAUCACCAGGGGAGCUAGCUCUGGCCUUUGUGGCUCCUACUUUAGUGACAUGAGAAAGUCUCUGGGGCUUUCAUGUGAACCUGUUUCAACUCCUGAGGCCAAAUAUGCUCUAUGUGUCACCCGGAGAGUCCCAGCUAAGAGGCCAAAUGAGUAAAAUGCAAGACAUGAAGCUGGGAGGGGUCGGAAUGCUGAUCUGACCUCAGGCUGCUGGAGAGAAGUUAACUAGCUUUUUAAAAUUUUUAUUUAUUUUUUUAAGAGAUAGUGUCUUGCUAUAUUGCCCAAGCUGAACUUGACUUCCUGGGCUCAAGUGAGCCUCCUGCCUCAGCCUUCUGAGAAGCUGGGACUACAGAAAUGUGCCACUGCACUUGGCUGGAACCAGCUUUUGAGGCAUUCUUUGCCUCUGAAGAACCUAGGAUGAAGUUCCUCUUACCUGAGGAAGCGGAGAAGCUUCCAGAGGCUUUGACUGUGCUGCUUUCUAACCCAUGAGCCUGCUGUUUCCAGAAGGAACACUCUAUUAGUCUGUUCUCACACUGCUAUAAAUAAAUGCCUGGCACUGGAUAAU